rnacentral:rRNA from 1 species
GAUGAACGCUGGCGGCGUGCCUAAUACAUGCAAGUCGAGCGAACAGAUGAGGAGCUUGCUCCUCUGACGUUAGCGGCGGACGGGUGAGUAACACGUGGAUAACCUACCUAUAAGACUGGGAUAACUUCGGGAAACCGGAGCUAAUACCGGAUAAUAUAUUGAACCGCAUGGUUCAAUAGUGAAAGACGGUUUUGCUUUCACUUAUAGAUUGAUCCGCGCCGCAUUAGCUAGUUGGUAAGUUAACGGCUUACCAAGGCAACGAUGCGUAGCCGACCUGAGAGGGUGAUCGGCCACACUGGAACUGAGACACGGUCCAGACGCCUACGGGAGGCAGCAGUAGGGAAUCUUCCGCAAUGGGCGAAAGCCUGACGGAGCAACGCCGCGUGAGUGAUGAAGGUCUUCGGAUCGUAAAACUCUGUUAUUAGGGAAGAACAAAUGUGUAAGUAACUAUGCACGUCUUGACGGUACCUAAUCAGAAAGCCACGGCUAACUACGUG